UUGAGUUCUAGUUGGCGUUUUUUUAAAUUUUUAAAACUAGUCAGGGGAAUACGCUGGCGGCGUGCCUAAUACAUGCAAGUCGAGCGAACUGAUUAGAAGCUUGCUUCUAUGACGUUAGCGGCGGACGGGUGAGUAACACGUGGGCAACCUGCCUGUAAGACUGGGAUACUCCGGGAAACCGGAGCUAAUCCCGGAUAACAUUUCUCUUGCAUAAGAGAAAAUUGAAAGAUGGUUUCGGCUAUCACUUACAGAUGGGCCCGCGGUGCAUUAGCUAGUUGGUGAGGUAACGGCUCACCAAGGCAACGAUGCAUAGCCGACCUGAGAGGGUGAUCGGCCACACUGGGACUGAGACACGGCCCAGACUCCUACGGGAGGCAGCAGUAGGGAAUCUUCCGCAAUGGACGAAAGUCUGACGGAGCAACGCCGCGUGAGUGAUGAAGGCUUUCGGGUCGUAAAACUCUGUUGUUAGGGAAGAACAAGUACAAGAGUAACUGCUUGUACCUUGACGGUACCUAACCAGAAAGCCCCGGCUAACUACGUGCCAGCAGCCGCGGUAAUACGUAGGUGGCAAGCGUUAUCCGGAAUUAUUGGGCGUAAAGCGCGCGCAGGCGGUUUCUUAAGUUUGAUGUGAAAGCCCACGGCUCAACCGUGGAGGGUCAUUGGAAACUGGGGAACUUGAGUGCAGAAGAGAAAAGCGGAAUUCCACGUGUAGCGGUGAAAUGCGUAGAGAUGUGGAGGAACACCAGUGGCGAAGGCGGCUUUUUGGUCUGUAACUGACGCUGAGGCGCGAAAAGACGC
rnacentral:rRNA from 1 species